rnacentral:rRNA from 1 species
AGAGUUUGAUCCUGGCUCAGAACGAACGCUGGCGGCGUGCUUAACACAUGCAAGUCGCGUGCGUAGUUUGCGUAGCAAUACGUGAAUGGGCGCACGGCGCACGGGUGCGUAACACGUGGGCAACCUGCCCUCCGAUGGGGAAUAACCCCGCGAAAGCGGGGCUAAUACCGCAUAACAUUCCUUGGACUGUGGUCUGAGGA